rnacentral:rRNA from 1 species
AGCGACAGGCCUAACACAUGCAAGUCGAGGGAUAUCCCUUCGGGGAGAAACCGGCGCACGGGUGAGUAACGCGUAUGUAACCUGCCCAUAAGUGGGGGAUAGCCCAGUGAAAACUGGAUUAAUACCGCAUAAUACCUCUUGAUGGCAUCUGAAGGAGGUUAAAGAUUUAUCGCUUAUGGAUGGACAUGCGUUGGAUUAGCUGGUUGGCGGGGUAACGGCCCACCAAGGCGACGAUCCAUAGGGGUUCUGAGAGGAAGGUCCCCCACACUGGUACUGAGACACGGACCAGACUCCUACGGGAGGCAGCAGUGGGGAAUAUUGGUCAAUGGGCGGAAGCCUGAACCAGCCAAGUCGCGUGAAGGAUGAAGGUAUUAUGUAUUGUAAACUUCUUUAGCCAGGGGGCAAUAAGGCGUACGCGUACGCCGAUGAGAGUACCUGGAGAAUAAGGAUCGGCUAACUCCGUGCCAGCAGCCGCGGUAAUACGGAGGAUCCGAGCGUUAUCCGGAUUUAUUGGGUUUAAAGGGUGCGCAGGCGGCUUUUUAAGUCAGUGGUUAAAUCGUGACGCUCAACGUCAUCACGCCAUUGAUACUGGAGAGCUUGAUUGCGGUCGAGGUUUGCGGAAUUCGUCGUGUAGCGGUGAAAUGCAUAGAUAUGACGAAGAACACCGAUUGCGUAGGCAGCAGACCAGGCCGUAAAUGACGCUCAUGCACGAAAGUGCGGGGAUCGAACAGGAUUAAAUACCCUGGUAGUCCCGCACAAUAAACGAUGAAUACUUGCUUUUUGGCGAUAUGAUGGUUCAGAGGGCAAAGCGAAAGCCGAUAAGUUUUCCCACCUGGGGAGUACGCCGGCAACCGGUGAAACUCAAAGGAAUUGACGGGGGCCCGCACAAGCGGAGGAACAUGUGGUUUAAUUCGAUGCUACGCGAGGAACCUUACCCGGGCUUGAAAGUUAGCGGCGGAGGUGGAAACACCUCUUCCCUUCGGGGCGCGAAACUAGGUGCUGCAUGGUUGUCGUCAGCUCGUGCCGUGAGGUGUCGGCUUAAGUGCCAUAACGAGCGCAACCCUUUUCCGUAGUUACCAUCAUUAGGUUGGGAACUCUGCGGACACUGCCAUCGUAAGAUGCGAGGAAGGAUGGGAUGACGUCAAAUCAGCACGGCCCUUACGUCCGGGGCGACACACGUGUUACAAUGGCAUGGACAGAAAGGAUCGACCGGGCGACCGG